ensembl:snRNA RNU6-477P RNA, U6 small nuclear 477, pseudogene
GUGCUCGCUUUGGCAGCACAUAUAUUAAAACUGAAACAAUACAGAGAAGACUAGCAUGGUCCCUGCACAAGGAUGACAUGCAAAUUCAUGAAGCAUUCCAUAUUUUU